AACAUUCAUUGCUGUCGGUGGGUUUGAGUGCAAAUCAACUCACUGAUCAAUGAAUGCAAA
rnacentral:pre_miRNA from 1 species